ncrna:Nicotiana tabacum cultivar TN90 Ntab-TN90_scaffold1642, whole genome shotgun sequence
GUCAGGAUGGCCGAGUGGUCUAAGGCGUCAGACUCAAGUUCGGGUCCUCGUGAGAGGGCGUGGGUUCAAAUCCCACUUUUGACA